UGAAUUUUACCAAAGUUACCUAGUGUUCUCUCUAUUUCCAAUCUCUCCGUAUCAUUUCUUCAUUUUUUCACAAAUUCUCCAAUAUACAUCCACCUCAGUCCUCACUUCCCAAUUCAUUGUCAUUCUUCUUCAUUGUGUUGCUCGAUGUGCUUACUUUUGUGGGUUUAUAAGCCUAGUUUACAGAUAUAAUUGUUGCUAGGAAACAAAAAUCAAAAUGAGAUUAAGAGAGGAAGCAUGGAAGAAAAUAAAAGGCAACAAGGAUGAUGGUGUAUGUGAUACUAACGGCGAGGGAGACAUGUGCCCAAGGAUUUUCCCAAAAAUAUUUUUAAUGAGAAUUUUUUUUAUUACAAAUGCUGAGUAAGCCAUGAGAAUCGAGAUUUGUUUUUAAUAUUUAAACAACAAUGAGAUUCACACUAUUUGUGAAGGAGGGUGAUUUUGACCAGAGUUAGACAAUAAGAAGAUUAU
rnacentral:lncRNA from 1 species